GAUCCUGGCUCAGGACGAACGCUGGCGGCGUGCUUAACACAUGCAAGUCGAACGGAGCACCCCUGAAUGAGGUUUCGGCCAAAGGAAGGGAAUGCUUAGUGGCGGACUGGUGAGUAACGCGUGAGGAACCUGCCUUUCAGAGGGGGACAACAGUUGGAACGACUGCUAAUACCGCAUGACACAUGAAGUGGGGCAUCCCUAUUGAUGUACAAAGUAUUUAUCGCUAGAAAGAGUGGCCUCGCCG
rnacentral:rRNA from 1 species